rnacentral:rRNA from 1 species
CAUGCAAGUCUACUUGAUCCUUCGGGUGAAGGUGGCGGACGGGUGAGUAACGCGUAAAGAACUUGCCUUACAGACUGGGACAACAUUUGGAAACGAAUGCUAAUACCGGAUAUUAUGAUUGGGUCGCAUGAUCUGGUUAUGAAAGCUAUAUGCGCUGUGAGAGAGCUUUGCGUCCCAUUAGUUAGUUGGUGAGGUAACGGCUCACCAAGACGAUGAUGGGUAGCCGGCCUGAGAGGGUGAACGGCCACAAGGGGACUGAGACACGGCCCUUACUCCUACGGGAGGCAGCAGUGGGGAAUAUUGGACAAUGGACCAAAAGUCUGAUCCAGCAAUUCUGUGUGCACGAUGAAGUUUUUCGGAAUGUAAAGUGCUUUCAGUUGGGAAGAAGUCAGUGACGGUACCAACAGAAGAAGCGACGGCUAAAUACGUGCCAGCAG